UUUAAAAAGUCUACAUCACGUUAAAACAAUUGUUUUUCAUAAUUAAAAUGUUCAAGUGCAAAUGUUGAUGAAGUCAAACAUAAAUGAGGGGGCAGAUCCAGGUUAGGGAGGGCUGAAAUCUUAUAAUUUUUACCCUUAAAAGAAUAUUUUACCAAUUUGAAGGUGGCCCACACCCACUACAGCCCUGAAUAUGCCGCUGUAAAAGCUGAUGAAAAAAGAUAAUUUUCAUUGAAGAACAAGUUGUUCUAACUUUCAAGGUAUGUCUUAAUAUUGCAAAUAAAUUGCAAUUUCUAAACUGAUUGUAGCCACUAACAUGCUUAAUAAAUAAUUUAUCAACAAAGAUCAAAACUGAGAG
rnacentral:lncRNA from 1 species